GAUAAACGCUGGCGGCGUGCCUAAUACAUGCAAGUCGAGCGAACGGACGAGAAGCUUGCUUCUCUGAUGUUAGCGGCGGACGGGUGAGUAACACGUGGAUAACCUACCUAUAAGACUGGGAUAACUUCGGGAAACCGGAGCUAAUACCGGAUAAUAUUUUGAACCGCAUGGUUCAAAAGUGAAAGACGGUCUUGCUGUCACUUAUAGAUGGAUCCGCGCUGCAUUAGCUAGUUGGUAAGGUAACGGCUUACCAAGGCAACGAUGCAUAGCCGACCUGAGAGGGUGAUCGGCCACACUGGAACUGAGACACGGUCCAGACUCCUACGGGAGGCAGCAGUAGGGAAUCUUCCGCAAUGGGCGAAAGCCUGACGGAGCAACGCCGCGUGAGUGAUGAAGGUCUUCGGAUCGUAAAACUCUGUUAUUAGGGAAGAACAUAUGUGUAAGUAACUGUGCACAUCUUGACGGUACCUAAUCAGAAAGCCACGGCUAACUACGUGCCAGCAGCCCGCGUAAUACGUAGGUGGCAAGCGUUAUCCGAAUUAUUGGGCGUAAGCGCGCGUAGGCGGUUUUUUAGUCUGAUGUGAAAGCCCACGGCUCAACUGUGGAGGGUCAUUGGAAACUGGAAAACUUGAGUGCAGAAGAGGAAAGUGGAAUUCCAUGUGUAGCGGUGAAAUGCGCAGAGAUAUGGAGGAACACCAGUGGCGAAGGCGACUUUCUGGUCUGUAACUGACGCUGAUGUGCGAAAGCGUGGGGAUCAAACAGGAUUAGAUACCCUGGUAGUCCACGCCGUAAACGAUGAGUGCUAAGUGUUAGGGGGUUUCCGCCCCUUAGUGCUGCAGCUAACGCAUUAAGCACUCCGCCUGGGGAGUACGACCGCAAGGUUGAAACUCAAAGGAAUUGACGGGGACCCGCACAAGCGGUGGAGCAUGUGGUUUAAUUCGAAGCAACGCGAAGAACCUUACCAAAUCUUGACAUCCUUUGACAACUCUAGAGAUAGAGCCUUCCCCUUCGGGGGACAAAGUGACAGGUGGUGCAUGGUUGUCGUCAGCUCGUGUCGUGAGAUGUUGGGUUAAGUCCCGCAACGAGCGCAACCCUUAAGCUUAGUUGCCAUCAUUAAGUUGGGCACUCUAAGUUGACUGCCGGUGACAAACCGGAGGAAGGUGGGGAUGACGUCAAAUCAUCAUGCCCCUUAUGAUUUGGGCUACACACGUGCUACAAUGGACAAUACAAAGGGCAGCGAAACCGCGAGGUCAAGCAAAUCCCAUAAAGUUGUUCUCAGUUCGGAUUGUAGUCUGCAACUCGACUACAUGAAGCUGGAAUCGCUAGUAAUCGUAGAUCAGCAUGCUACGGUGAAUACGUUCCCGGGUCU
rnacentral:rRNA from 1 species